AAGAUGGCUGCUACCUACGUUUCGGAUAGCGUCGUGAAGCAUAGACGAAAUAAAACUAGCAAUUUCAAUAUCGAACAUGAACCUAAAAAGAGGGUUUCGAUUCGGGCCGAAGAAGAUUGCUUUCUGGAAGGAUUGGAUCCACUUUUAGAUCUGGUGGAGGAUGCAGAGGAUUUGGAUGAUGCCACCCCUCCCCAGCAAGCACCCCCGCCUGUCAUGGUCUAAACCCUCCCACUGCUAUGUCAUUCACCCUGUCUGAUGGUUCUACAUCCACUUUUCAUAGACCUCUUGAAAAAGGUAAUAGGGGCUUGUGGCACCAUUUGUCCUAACAGAAUCGGUUUCCCGAAGACCAAGGUAAAUGACAUGACAAAGACAGCAGAGAGGUGGACCAUACGUUGGAUCAGGACUAACAAGCUGCCUUUUGUGAAAUGGAAGGACACUAGGGAAGUAACCAUGCUCACCAUACAGCAUAAAGUAUUCAAUAACAAACAUGUCUCAAGGAGGGUGAAAAAUGCCAGUGGGGCAUGGGUGAGGAAGAAUGUCUCCAUUCCUGUUUCUGUGAAGGACUACAAUGCCAGCAUGGGGGGCGAUGUCGACCUAUCUGAUGCCCUGGCUACUACCAGGUCCUCCACAAGACCAAGAAGUGAUCGAGAAUUUUCCAAGGAGGUCCGUGGACAACUCUGCUCGGGGGGCUUCAGAGAUGUCUGGAAUUCACCCACAUUAAGUAAAAUUAUUCAUGCUUACAUGCUAAAACAGCAUGUAUUUUCUUUUCUGAAUUCCUUAAAUUAGAUACCAUACGCUUAGUGUUAUCUCUGUAUUUUUCCCCCUAUAUUUUAAGCAUCAACCAGCACAUGCGUCUGUAUCUGCUGUUCAGACUCCUCCAUUGAGAACUGCAUUGAACUUGUUGUCAAUGUUUAAUAAGAAAAGAUUUUGGGGGCUCUCAUGUGUCUGCAGCAAGACCAGCCCUUAAUUUGGCAAGGAAGCCUGCUCAGCAUGAUGUGCCUCGGAAGCCUGUUCGGCCCUGAUACAGCCUCUGUGAAGAGUACCACUGCCUCUGCCGUCUCUCAGCCAGCUAUGCUAGAGCCUCUGAGAGCUGAUUGGUGUGUGGACUACCUGCUCAGGCAGACUGGGAAGGCCAUACAUAGCAUAUGGACCCUGACUCAGAYGAGACUGAACCCCACAGUUGGUAGUCUUCUGGAUGACUUCACCACCACCACUGCUGACUUCUCUGCUGCCAGCCCCACUAAAAGCUGCUCCCACUAAAGUCCAUCCUGCUUCCUCCAGUGCCAAGUCUGCUGCCACCAGAACCUGGCCUGCUUCACCCACAGCCCAGUCUGCUGCUAGCCAACUCCACUCAUGCAAAAAAAAAAUGGCAACGUGUCACUAGUUUCCAUAUAGACUCUGCUGUACUCCAGCCCUUUUUAUUUUCUUUCUAAAAUUAGAGGCUUGACUCAAUCAGAUCGAACGUUGACCCGCGGAUGCUCUUGUGUGUCACAAACCACUCCCUUCCUUCCCACUGGGCACACAGUGGUUGGCUCAACGUAGUUUCCACGUCAAUUCAAUGAAAUUACGUUGACCCAACUUGGAAUAGACGUUGAAUAGACUUUUGUGCCCAGUGGGUUAUUGUCCCUACCACAUUAGAAGUUCAAAACAGCACUAGAAAAUGUAGGCUAUUGCAUAAUUAGUAUGUUAAUUUGGAGUGGAGACUUUAAAGCCUAUCAGUCUAAUCGGGAGUGAGGCCUAUAGCCUACAAUAGAACAUCACACAUUCAAGUGUUUGAACUUGUAAUGCGGAUGCAGGAACUUCUAAGGCAGCUGCAUGGGAUUUGGCGGAUAUUAAGUCGGGUGGUUUCAUUGCAUCCAACGCAGUGUAGGCGAUAAGGUAACACAAGGAGCCGUUUGUAGAUUUUUCCACCUCCGACACUUCCAAAACAACCGCUAUGCGGGUAUCGACCAACGUUCAGAUGGGAGUUUUUGCAUGAAUGUUGUCAUGUUUGGAUCCUGUUGUCUUAUUCACUCAGAAUCAGUCAGUUAGUUGCCAUACCCACAACAAGGCUCCCUAAAUUCUAUCAGCAUAUCGAAUGCGCGUCCUGGGCUGGCAAAACCCUGGAUCGUUGUUAUU